rnacentral:antisense_RNA from 1 species
AGAAGAGAAUGACAAGAGAGGAUCUCACAUUAAAACAAGGUUUCAAACAAUAUUGGCAGGGAUAGUGUUGAAAAGUUUUCCUUUCACUAGUGGGACACAUUCCCCUUUUCUUUUCAAAGAGGAAGAACAUGGUGUCAUCCAAUGUGAAGUGAGCAGUUUCGGGUCAAACUCUUAUGGUAAGAAACUAAAAAAAGAUGCCAAGAGACAAACCUUCAGAAAUAGAAGAAAUGCAAAAGAUGGAAUAAAAACCCCGAUCAUUAAAACAGAGACACCUUCACUGGUGUCCAAUAAGGAUUCUCUUUACAAAACAGAAACAAAAAACUCAAAAAUUUACCAUACUUUGUAAUGAAAAUACCAGUAUGUUGAAGACACAGCAGACUGGGUUUCUAUUAGAACAAGUAUCAGCAAGGUCAUGUAGACUUGUAGAAACUUUUGCCUUCUCCUGCACCAGACAGAUCAUUGUCCAGUUGGGUUGUCAGCUGGAGACUGAUAAGAACCUAAAAAAUGGAUCUUUUUUUUUUUUUCUUUUUCCCAUGGUCACGCAUCCACACAAAUGAGUCUUUUGGAUGAGAAAAGUCACAGCAACUUGAGUUCUCCUAAUGAAUAGAUGACUUUUUAGCCCUGUUUGUUUCAAUGGGGAAAACAAUGACAAAAAAACAAA